UCUAGUGAGAAAUGUGUUGCACUCGUAUAGACUAACGGUAUACUUGAUCCCCAAUAACAACACUUGCACGGUCCCUACAGAAUUCAGAUUCAGAUGUCCGCUUAUUGUGAAUUUCUGCAUCGAAAGUGGCAUCUCACUAGAAACUAGAGGACUGAACACACGCUGUUGAUGGGCGGAGUUUCAAAUGACACCAAGGAAGUAAGGGGAAAAGCUGCCAUGGAUGCUGAAUCUGUAUCUUCAGGUGGACUGCUGUCUUCACUUAGAAAGUUGGUGUUGUACCCGUAUCUGGAGUUCCAUCCUCACAUAUAUUAAAGGAAAUAGGUGGAAUGUCACUCAUUUUUGGCACUGGUUUUGUAACUAAUAACAAGUGGUGCGUAGCGAUUUAUUCAGUGUGAUGCAGCUCAUUAGUAUGCAAGCCAUGGUAUACGCUAUAUA